AAAGUAUGGGUAGCAAACKGGAUUAGAUACCCCGGUAGUCCAUACCGUAAACGAUGGGUGCUAGUUGUUAAGAGGUUUCCGCCUCCUAGUGACGUAGCAAACGCAUUAAGCACCCCGCCUGAGGAGUACGGCCGCAAGGCUAAAACUUAAAGGAAUUGACGGGGACCCGCACAAGCGGUGGAGCAUGUGGUUUAAUUCGAAGAUACGCGAAAAACCUUACCAGGUCUUGACAUACCAAUGAUCGCUUUUGUAAUGAAAGCUUUUCUUCGGAACAUUGGAUACAGGUGGUGCAUGGUCGUCGUCAGCUCGUGUCGUGAGAUGUUGGGUUAAGUCCCGCAACGAGCGCAACCCUUGUUAUUAGUUGCCAGCAUUUAGUUGGGCACUCUAAUGAGACUGCCGGUGAUAAACCGGAGGAAGGUGGGGACGACGUCAGAUCAUCAUGCCCCUUAUGACCUGGGCAACACACGUGCUACAAUGGGAAGUACAACGAGUCGCAAACCGGCGACGGUAAGCUAAUCUCUUAAAACUUCUCUCAGUUCGGACUGGAGUCUGCAACUCGACUCCACGAAGGCGGAAUCGCUAGUAAUCGCGAAUCAGCAUGUCGCGGUGAAUACGUUCCCGGGUCUUGUACACACCGCCCGUCAAAUCAUGGGAGUCGGAAGUACCCAAAGUCGCUUGGCUAACUUUUAGAGGCCGGUGCCU
rnacentral:rRNA from 1 species